GAUGAACGCUGGCGGCGUGCCUAAUACAUGCAAGUCGAGCGAACGGACGAGAAGCUUGCUUUUCUGAUGUUAGCGGCGGACGGGUGAGUAACACGUGGAGAACCUACCUAUAAGACUGGGAUAACUUCGGGAAACCGGAGCUAAUACCGGAUAAUAUUUUGAACCGCAUGGUUCAAAAGUGAAAGACGGUCUUGCUGUCACUUAUAGAGGGAUCCGCGCUGCAUUAGCUAGUUGGUAAGGUAACGGCUUACCAAGGCAACGAUGCAUAGCCGACCUGAGAGGGUGAUCGGCCACACUGGAACUGAGACACGGUCCAGACUCCUACGGGAGGCAGCAGUAGGGAAUCUUCCGCAAUGGGCGAAAGCCUGACGGAGCAACGCCGCGUGAGUGAUGAAGGUCUUCGGAUCGUAAACCUCUGUUAUUAGGGAAGAACAUAUGUGUAAGUAACUGUGCACAUCUUGACGGUACCUAAUCAGAAAGCCACGGCUAACUACGUG
rnacentral:rRNA from 1 species